ACAUGAAAAUCUGCUGCCCCCUACAAACGAGUAGUUCGAGAAACUCGAGUCUCAGAACUACAACUCCCAGAAUGCCACUGAACUAACUUCCUUUGGGGCCCUCACGUCCUAGUACAGGAAGUCCUAGAACUCGCUGUGUCGGCGUCUCCUCGGUUAUCGGGCAGAGACCGGGUGCUAAGGUCCAACUGCACAGACGGUGGAGCACUGAUAACUGACCCAUUGUCAGUAGCAUCUGAAGCCCACAAGCUGGAGGGAACUUGGUUAGGAGCCAGAUGGUUAGAAGGGGUUGAAGAUCAUUCAAAUCACUGAAGCAACCUGUGAAACAAUGCUUUGC
rnacentral:lncRNA from 1 species